AAUUGUUGAAUUUCAGUGUUCAUUUAUUUACACAUACACAUAACACUCAUCUACUCAUUGUUGAGUUAAGGGUUGAAUUGUCCAUACUUGUUCUAUUCUCUGUCACUAUUUUUCUAACCAUGCUGAACACCCUCUCUGAUGAUGCAUUGCUGUGUGGCAUGCACAAAAGUGCUUUCAUCAAAUGCACUAGAGUCUAGAAUCUUCCAUCUCUCCCUAGUAUGUACAGUAGAUUGCAGUAUUGUCCUGUUUAAGAGUGUCACAACAUUGCUGUUUACGGCAGACGAACUGCUUUACGGUAGACAAAAACGUGACUGCAGUUGUUGUGUGUUGUUACCGUGCUUGGAGGACGUUAAUGAAACUGCCUAACAAUAAACCGACAUAAGAAACCAACAACUCGCCCUUGAUCAUUCUACAGUUGUAAUGUAAAUGGAGCUAGACACGCUGUUUUUAUAUUGUGGGAAAGCGGAUGUGAAAACAGGCAGUCCUCACUCAGGUCCGCAUGGAGCUGGAGGGGGCGUGGCCUCCAGCUCCGCCUGAAUUUCUGGAGAUUUUCGGGAGAAAAUUUGUCCCGGGAGGUUUUCGAGAGAGGCGCUGAAUUUCGGGAGUCUCCCGGAAAAUCCGGGAGGGUUGGCAAGUAUGGUGUGUUCAUACAUGAAACAUUUUGCAUUACUCAUCACAUUAAUCCCAGUGGAACCUCUGUUUUUUACGAACUUAAUUUUUUCUUGAGCGGGUUUCUUAAAUACGAAGGUUUGUAUAGUAAAGCCAAAUUCUCCAUAAGAAACAAUGCAAACACAAUAUGAAGUGCUAAACAGUACUGUACUGUAUAGCAAACAAACAUAAUCAACUUUCCCGUUUAUUAACAAGCUGAACAGUGCUGUAUAUGCUGCUCUGCCAACAUGCGCACACACAGAAGUCAUGUUGAUGCCCUCACAAACGAUCAGAAAUCACAAAAAAAAUGAACUUUAACAACCAUACUGCCACAAUAAUAUACAUUUUAAAAAAAGUAAAAUCCAACAAUAUUAACAUUGGUAAGGAGUUAAAGAGACAGAGAGAGAAGAAAGUAGGGCGGCGGGUUUGUGUGUGGGCUCUUAGUAUUUAGAUAUAAGUCCGCAGUGCGAAGCUUGCUUCGUCAAUUCUUCCAUACUUGCGAGCGCCAUUAAUGUACUCUUCGCAAAAUGUUUUAUUUUUAUUACACAGUGAUUCCUUCCUUCUUUUCACGCUCGUCUGUCGAGUUUUUAAGACUCAUAUUUACUUGACAAAAAAAACAAAACUUGUCAGAAACGCAAAAAAAACACAGGGAAAAAAAGCACACAAGGUGAAGUGUCGAGACUGACUAGUAAAUUAGUCAACGUGCAGCAAGUGACUUAAAUGUUGCGCCCUGCUUUUUGCUUGCAGCCGGAAGAAAAUAAAUAAAUAAAUAAAUAAAUAAAGCGUUCGCACACAAAGGCACAUUUUGUUUGGUCUAAAAGUUUGUAAAUUGAAAAGUUUCCAAAUUGAGGGGUUCCUAAAUUAAGGUUCCACUGUAGGUGAGACAAUAUUUGAAAACUCUUAUCUAUUUCGAUUAUCUUAAUGAGACUAUAAGAUUAUCUAUAAUGGACGCUUAAUUUGCGAAUGUAAUGAAAAAAGGCACCAAAAUGGAUGAUAUGAUCCCACUCCAUAUUACUCGUGUUUACCGUUCGCCUCCCGGUAACAGUUCGAGACGCUACCUCAGUAGAAGCAUUUAAGUAUCACCUUAAAACUCAUUUGUAUACUCUAGCCUUUAAAUAGACUCCCUUUUUAGAACAGUUGAUCUGCCGUUUAAUUUCUUUUUCUCCUAUGUCCCACUCUCCCUUGUGGAAGGGGUCCGGUCCGGUGGCCAUAGAUGAAGUACUGGCUGUCCAGAGUCGGGACCCAGGAUGGACCGCAUAUGUGGUCCUCUCCAAGGUUUCUCAUAGUCAUCAUCGUCAACGACGUCCCACUGGGUCUUUACAGAUGCCACGCCACCUCUGCAGGCAAAGACAUCUACUGCGGUCAAGCCUUUGCCCAAAUUACAUGCAUCUUGUCGUGAAAGGUAUAUGCCAUUUGCAAAAACAACCGCCAGAAACACCUGCCCAUCACCCGGCAGUACAUAAAGAUGCCCGACAUCAUGUGAAGUCUCUGGUCAAAGGUGGAGUCAGAUGUGUCGACCUCAAAACAAAAUUGAGAAGAAGUGUUAGGAUGAGCAAGACGCAGUGCAAACGUGAACAACAAUUUGAGUCCAUCAACUUUCGAAAAACAUAAAAACCUUUGGAAGUACUAUUUAGAGGUGGGAGUGGAUUUUCGUAAGAUUAUUGCAUUUUUUGUAAUACUACAUCAAAAAAUAAAAUUCUUGAAACUUUUUCGUAAAAUACUUUAUUCUAUUUACCAUUUUAGAAUAAUUUAUUAUUAUUAUAUAUAAUAUUUUUUGCCGUAUGUUGACUUUAUUCUCAUAGUUACAACUAGGGGGUGGUGGUUCAAUAGUUACACUAUAGAAAAGAGUCAGUCAAUUUUACAGUAAACUUGCAGCUCAAUCACCAGAAUUUUACUGUAAAAUUUACAGUGGACCGUUUUUCCAUUAACUUUAUUGCACCGUAAAAACAUCAGCUGUAGAUUUUAAGUUAAAAAACUUGGCAGCUCAAUUUCAAUUCUAUUUAUUUGGAACAUGUUAAAACUUCACAAGCACACAUUUUGCUCAAGUGAUUAACCGUCCAAAAUGAGUGGGAAGAAGCAAAACUUGUCUGGUCCCACCCCGGGGGCAUAAUCAGCAGGGGGGAAAAAUAAAAAUAAAAUACUAAUAGUAAAGUGCAGUCGUCAGAGUUUUACUGUAGAAAUACAAGUGGUACCGUUUGUCAAUGUAUAAAUAAUGCACUGUAAAAACAACUAGAAUUCACUACUAAAAAACUGCAGUAAAGUUACCAGAAUUUUAUUGUAAAAAUAACAAUGUUACUGUUUUUACAUUUAGAAUAAUGCUCUAAGAAUGAUCAUAGAUUCUAUGGUAAUUAACUAGUAGAUCAGUAACCAGAAUUUUACUGUAAAAAAAAACAGUGGUGUCGUUUUUCCAUUUCCAGUAAUGUGCUGUGAAAAUAACAAACUUAAAUUUUGUAGUAAAAAUCAUUUUACCGUAAAAAGAAUAGUGGUACAGUUUUUCAAUUUACAGUAAUGAGCUGUAAAAACUGUUGUAGAUUUUACAGUAAAA